rnacentral:tRNA from 1 species
CCGUUGGUGGUUCAAUGGAGAAUUCUCGUCUUCCACGCAGGAGACCCAGGUUUGAUUCCCGGCCAAUGCA